GGAACAAAGGGACAUUCAACAUUGAACUUUAUUAAUAUUCCAUAUAAAGUUACAUAUGGGAAGAACCAUUUUCAUCAUAUCAGAUCCAAAAAGGAUAUAUACAACAAGGUCUUUCUAUAUUAAGGAAGGGAAAGUGAUAUUCUGCUCAAGAAAUAUAUCAAGCUCCUACGUACAAAAAAAUAUCAAGAACCACUUGGAGGCUACGUCUUCGUCAGUUACGAGAUUGCGUUAUUGGUUUCCUUCUAAUAAUAGCAAGUUGGAGAUUUCUUUAAAGUGAAGUGAGGUGGAAGAAGAGUAGUUUUUGACAUAGAAGAUCGUGGAGCAGAUACGAGUUGAGUACUUGAGCCGUUGAGCUAAGACCAGGUUCUGAUAAACAGCCAGAUAGACCUCCUCAGUAGACGAGACGAGAGAUCAGCUGACCGGUGAGCUCCAUUCUUUCUGGAGUUGCCAGGUCUACUCAGAGUCUUCUUUUGUAAUGUAUAUAUGUGAUGGGUAGGUCAAGACCCUGUCCCGACUAUGAUACAGUUGUGUACUCAGUAGAGGCUUGUAGACGUGUCUUGCAUAGUAGUAGAGUCUUGGCCUUGCCGGCCCUUUAUGUACUCAUUUUGGUGUUGUCGGACUGAUGACGACCUCGUCGGUCGGCAUAGCAGAUAUAUAUAUAUAUUGGCUUA